GAUGAACGCUGACAGAAUGCUUAACACAUGCAAGUCUUUGGCGAAGCUGUGCUUGCACAGCCUAGCCAAGGCGGACGGGUGAGUAACGCGUAAGGAACUUGCCCUGCAGUCAGGGAUAACAGACGGAAACGACUGAUAAGACCUGGUAAAGUCAGGCGGACUCAUGUCCAGCCUGAUGAAAAGAGAUGCUGCAGGAGAGCCUUGCGUCCUAUUAGCUUGUUGGUGGGGUAACGGCCCACCAAGGCGAUGAUAGGUAGCCGGCCUGAGAGGGUGGACGGCCACAAGGGGACUGAGAUACGGCCCUGACGCCUACGGGAGGCAGCAGUGGGGAAUAUUGGACAAUGGGGGCAACCCUGAUCCAGCAAUUCUGUGUGCACGAUGAAGGUUUUCGGAUUGUAAAGUGCUUUCAGCAGGGAAGAAAAAAAUGACGGUACCUGCAGAAGAAGCGACGGCUAAAUACGUG
rnacentral:rRNA from 1 species